AUGCAGCUGUGCCAUCUCACCUUAACAUUCCACUGGACACUAAUGCAGGUAAACACCUUUCUUGGAUCACACACACCACAAAAAAGCGCAUCAUCAUUGGCAGAGCAUCAUACUUCAGGUCUGUUCUCUGCAAUACGGCUCACGAUGGGAGAUCAGUACUGGGAAGCAUCAACACUGUUUGUAAUACCUCGAGCACUCCCUCAUCAUUCAAGACCAUUUCUCAUGCACAUCAAAGAAUUGCAUAGUGCACCACCUACAGAAAUACAGAUUAUGCAGACCAUGGAGACAGGCAGGCGCUCAUCUCAUCAUCCUGCUGAACAUUUAAGAGAUGCCUGAAAUGACAGCAGCCCAUCAGCUCUUGGGAAAAGCAUGCCCCCAUAACCACACCAUUGCGAGUGGACUUUGUAACAGAGAAGCUUUAACACGAGAAGUGGGUAAUGGCAGUGGGACAAGUGCUCAAAAGGUAGGCAAAAAGUACUAUUUUAUCCGCAGAGCUUAAGACUCUAGAAGCAUCAUGUGCGUCCACGUUAAUAUACAUAAUUUGUAUUAAGAAUAGAAACCUCUAAAUGCGCAAUUGUAUACAUACAAGUUGAACUUAAAACCUUGAAAAUCUCUUUGAGUGCAUCCUGAGGUGGGCCACAAAAAUAAUCCAAAGGAUGCACCAUCUCCCUUAGGAGGACACGCUGAGCGAGGUGGGGUUGUACAGCCUGGAGAAGAGAAGGCUGCAACAAGGGAAGGCUGCGAGAAGCUUGUCAGUAUCUAAAGGGGAGCUACAGGACAGAAGAGGACUAACUCUUUAGCAGGGUCUGUAGUGAAAGGACAAGAGGAAAUGGCUUCAUAUUUAAAAGAGUGGAGAUUUAGGUUAGUUAGAAGGAAAAAGUAAUUUACAGUGAGGGUGGCAAGGCACUGGCACAGGUUGUUCAUUGAUGUGGUGGAUGCCCUGUCCCUGGAGACUUUCAAGGUCAGGCUUGAGCAGGCUCUGAGCACCCUGAUAUAGCUGUGCAUGUUCCAGUUCAUUGCAGGGAAUCUACACUAGAUGGCCUUUGAGUGUCUCUGCCAACUAAAAAGAUUCUAUGAUUUUAUGGGUGUUGCUACAGGGUACUGCUUCAUCCAGGAGGCUCCCUUGCCUGAACAUACAGUAUUACCUUGAGUUAUUUCAGUUGCCUCAAACACUGGUAAAAUGCUUUUGUUUGUUCUCUCUACAUUUAUCUAUCAUCUCUCACCACAAAACUUGACAUCUUCCACACAACACACAUUGUCUAUUAACGCCAAAUGCCUUUGCAGCCAGCAGCAUCACUGCAGGUGAGCCUAAAGCCUGGUAGAUGCAUCCACCAGAAGGCAGCGUGCCCUCAUCCGGCACUAGGAUUCCUCACUCGGCACCAGUGCCUGAGAAAACAAAGCUGCCCUCUUAGCUCAUUAUUUCUACACCACAGUGUUGCUCCUGAUACCUAACGUCAAAGAUCAACUUUAAGGCAGUAGCACUGCUGCAAGAUCUGAUGUUACUCUAGAAAUGGCAGUUCAGAUAUGUGGGUGAGUAUAUUCCAAAUAUAGGAAUGGAAGUGAAAAGCACUUUAAAAGCAAAAGCCUUGAACUAAAUUUAAGAAAAGCACCUGAUGAUAAUAAACAGGCUUCUUGAAAGUGAUUCCCUGAACUU
rnacentral:lncRNA from 1 species